CAACGGAAUCCCAAAAGCAGCUGUUUUCCUCUGAGUCUUCCAGCUGCACUUGGAUUCCGUUCCU
rnacentral:pre_miRNA from 1 species